rnacentral:rRNA from 1 species
CCUACGGGAGGCAGCAGUGAGGAAUAUUGGUCAAUGGGCGCGAGCCUGAACCAGCCACGUAGCGUGAAGGAUGACUGCCCUACGGGUUGUAAACUUCUUUUAUAAAGGAAUAAAGUGAGGCACGUGUGCCUUUUUGUAUGUACUUUAUGAAUACGGAUCGGCUAACUCCGUGCCAGAAGCCGCGGUAAUACGGAGGAUCCGAGCGUUAUCCGGAUUUAUUGGGUUUAAAGGGAGCGUAGAUGGGUUGUUAAGUCAGUUGUGAAAGUUUGCGGCUCAACCGUAAAAUUGCAAUUGAUACUGGCAGUCUUGAGUGCAGUUGAGGUAGGCGGAAUUCGGGGUGUAGCGGUGAAAUGCUUAGAUAUCACGAAGAACUCCGAUGGCGAAGGCAGCUUACUAAACUGUAACUGACAUUGAUGCUCGAAAGCGUGGGGAGCAAACAGGAUUAGAUACCCCAGUAGUC